rnacentral:lncRNA from 1 species
AAAUUCAGAUAGGAAGUUUUAAAGUAAUUUUCAGUGCUAAGAGAAAUGACAUCCAAGAGGGACACAGACAAACAUUUGUCCAGAUGAGCUGCGGUAACAGGAUUGUGUUUGGACAGGAGCUUCUCUCCGCAGGGAACAAGCUUUAGGAACAAGCUGAAGAAAUUGAGAAAUAUAUGCCGGCGGUUAUUCUGAAAACGUCUGUUUUCCACUGGAAUGAAGCU